UACAGAGGGGGCAAGCGUUAUUCGGAAUUAUUGGGCGUAAAGGGCGCGUAGGCGGCUUGGCAAGUGGAAGGUGAAAUCCCUCGGCUUAACCGAGGAACUGCCUGUCAGACUGGAAGGCUUGAGACCGGGAGAGGUGAGUGGAAUUCCCAGUGUAGCGGUGAAAUGCGUAGAUAUUGGGAGGAACACCAGUGGCGAAGGCGGCUCACUGGACCGGAACUGACGCUGAGGCGCGAAAGCGUGGGGAGCAAACAGG
rnacentral:rRNA from 1 species